rnacentral:rRNA from 1 species
CCUACGGGAGGCAGCAGUGGGGAAUCUUGCGCAAUGGGCGAAAGCCUGACGCAGCCAUGCCGCGUGAAUGAUGAAGGUCUUAGGAUUGUAAAAUUCUUUCACCGAGGACGAUAAUGACGGUACUCGGAGAAGAAGCCCCGGCUAACUUCGUGCCAGCAGCCGCGGUAAUACGAAGGGGGCUAGCGUUGCUCGGAAUUACUGGGCGUAAAGGGAGCGUAGGCGGAUAGUUUAGUCAGAGGUGAAAGCCCAGGGCUCAACCUUGGAAUUGCCUUUGAUACUGGCUAUCUUGAGUACGGAAGAGGUAUGUGGAACUCCGAGUGUAGAGGUGAAAUUCGUAGAUAUUCGGAAGAACACCAGUGGCGAAGGCGACAUACUGGUCCGUUACUGACGCUGAGGCUCGAAAGCGUGGGGAGCAAACAGGAUUAGAUACCCUGGUAGUCCACGCUGUAAACGAUGAGUGCUAGUUGUCGGCAUGNAUNCAUGUCGGUGCGCAGCUACGCAUAAGACACUCCGCCGUCGGGAGGUACGGUCGCGAGAAGUUAAACGUAACAAUAGUAAGUUAGUACGGCGUGAGACGUAGACCGAACGGACGACGACGAGGGAGGAGGG